UUCAAGAAAGCCUUAAAUGUUUUUAUUUCUAUUACCUUAAGUACGUAUUAUAUAUAAUAAGAUAAUCAACACCAGGUAAAUAUUAAGAUCAGUAUUUCCUUUGGUGGUAAAACUCAGUAGCAUGUAUUUAAAGUAGGAACUUCUAUUUUGUAGACAUGAAUGGAAAGCAUUCAGAACCAUCAAACUUUUUCAAAGCCUCAGUUCGGAGGAACACCACCUAAAGUGAGUUACAAGCGGAAAAAAACAGGGACUCUUUAGUAACAGACCUCUAACCAGAUCACAGAGUGUGUGUGUGUUAUGCUGUGCUGAGAUAUUGCUGUGACAUACGGUGCAUUUAGGUCCACAACCUGAAAAUUGCACUAAUGGAACACGGUGAUUAUGACUGAAAGAAGAUAAUAGGAUAUUUGUUUUCAUCUAGAGAAAAUAAAAUGAGGGUUGGAACAAUUUUGGUUAGUCAGUUGAAGUAUACUUUGUUGUGUAUAUGUUUUAUUUUGUUCAGGUAUUAUAUGAGUUGACAACUGUACAAGACAUCCUAGACUGGCUCCCGUCCCUAUGUUUGUUCUUAUUUACAUAUAUGUUUAUUCAUUAAGAGGGCAGUAACUCCAGCAGGUUGUUUCUACAUUGACAUUUUUUAUUGUCCCUGGCUCCGAACAUAGGGACUGGUGAAAGUUGGCUUACAGUGUCUCACAAAUUCGUGAGACAAAUUCCCAUUAAUUUCUUUUAGUGAUAAUCAGCAGCU